rnacentral:rRNA from 1 species
CCUACGGGAGGCAGCAGUGAGGAAUAUUGGUCAAUGGGCGCGAGCCUGAACCAGCCAAGUCGCGUGAGGGAGGACGGCCCUACGGGUUGUAAACCUCUUUUGUCGGGGAGCAACGGGCGCCACGUGUGGCGCCACUGAGAGUACCCGGAGAAAAAGCAUCGGCUAACUCCGUGCCAGCAGCCGCGGUAAUACGGAGGAUGCGAGCGUUAUCCGGAUUUAUUGGGUUUAAAGGGUGCGUAGGCGGACCGUUAAGUCAGUGGUCAAAUUGAGGGGCUCAACCCCUUCCCGCCAUUGAAACUGGCGUUCUUGAGUGGAAGAGAAGUAUGCGGAAUGCGUGGUGUAGCGGUGAAAUGCAUAGAUAUAAGGCAGAACACCGAUGGCGAAGGCAGUAUGCUGGACAGCUACUGACGGUGAAGCGCGAAAGCGUGGGGAGCGAACAGGAUUAGAUACCCCUGUAGUC